rnacentral:lncRNA from 1 species
AAUGAAAAAGAAAAAAAAAGUCAGAAAAUGCCCUGUGAUAAUUGGUAGCCAAUUGAGGCAACAUUGGAUGAGUUGGAUCAGAAGAUGAAGCUGAGAGAGAACUUCAGGAAGAAAAGAGGCCAGGGGAGUGUCUCUGGCCCACCUUCAGGAUUCCUCAUUGGAAAUCCUGCUACAUCUUAGAGAUGUUUCAUUAGCAGAAAGCCAUCAGCAGAGAACUGUGUGCGUAUUAUCUGAAAGAAGAUUAUGCAGAUCCAAACCUGACUGCCAAGUGGAAAAGAGACAGUUACAAGGCUUUGUGCUGCCUGUGGUGUGUUCAGACUCAGGAUACCAACUUUGGAACCAACUGCAUCUGCCAGGUU